rnacentral:tRNA from 1 species
UGGUUCAGUUGGUAGAAUAUGGUGCUUGCUACACCAGGUGUGUGGGUUUGAUUCCCAC